rnacentral:lncRNA from 1 species
CAGUCUGGGGAAAGCCUCGAGUGAGGAGGGAUUGUCUGUACUGCUGGGCUGGCCCCUUGUGGCCACCUGGGGAUUUCACAGCAUUAUUCCUUUCCAAUGCAAGUCCAUAGGUAGGAUGAUUAAAUUGCUCCAAGAUUCUGAUUCAAGGUCAGUUUGACAUUUUCCCACGUUAUGGUUAAGUUUAGGAUUGAGGGUAUGGAGAGCUGAACUGAGAUGAGAGCCAACAAAAACUUGGUACCCACCGGACAGGGCGACUGCAGGAAGACUGUAACCUUCUCGUCCUCCAACAUGAGUUGCAGGAAGAGCCUGCGGAUGAAGCCGGAGAUGUUGCCAGAGAUGGGCACGUUUCCACGCUGGGGGGCCGACUGGAAGAGCUCACACAGCACCUACGGAGGGAGAGAAACCACCAUAAACACAAGUUAGUAAAACCAUCACAGAUACCGUUGGUCAGGUGGAAAUGUGUGUGGUCAAGGCAUUCCACCAGACCUGUGCCAUGAGCCGCUGGUUGUUGGGGUGGCAGGAGAUGCACUGCAGGAAGAAGGCCACUGUGGCGUUCUCGAUGGCUGUCCUCUGCUGGGUGGUGAGCCCGCUGCCCCGGGACGAGGAGGCUAGAGAGUAGCGCGACCCAGAGGGCAGGGGUGGGGGCGGAGGAGGGGGGCAGCACGCACCACCGGAGGCAGCAGAGUGGGCUCCCGUGUGCCCCUGGCCACCACUGGCUCCCCCUGCGCUAGCGCUGGAGUGGCACAGCAGGAACAGCAGAGCAGUCCACAGAGAGUUCACCUCAGGCCCACCCAGCCAGUCCUUCAUGGCAUGACUGUUCCCCACCUCUGUGAGGAAACGCAGCACUGGGGCUGCCAGCUCUGCAGACAGGGGCACCCUGCUCUGAGAGGAAGCGGAGGAUGAAGAAGAGGAGGAGCAGUGGGGGUGGUGGUUGUGAUGGUGUUGCCGUCGUUCAGCCUGGGCGGUGGCGGGCAGGGGCAGGUCAGCGGCAGCCAGGAGGCCACAGCAGAGUCCGGCCAGGCUGCGGACUAGCAGAGAGGGCAGGCCCGAGUCCAGCAGCUGCUCUAUUGCCCCGGGUGACUGGGAGGCUGAAGCCAGAGUGGCCAGUUCCGACUCGGACAGUGCGAUGGGUGGACGCGCGUGCUUGGAGUCGUCGGUGAGGCCGGUGGCAGCGGCGCUGGUGGUGGCGUUAGCAUUGGCGCUGCUGAGGUCAUGCUGCUUCUUUCCGUCGUCCGUCAUGGAGAGGCGGUGCUGGGCCUGAGAUUGGGCGGCGGUUGGCGGUGGGGGCAGCGGCGCUGGCCAUUGUGGCCUCCACGUCACUGACGUGGGUCAGACAGUGGUGGAGCAGACGUAGCCAGCCAAUACUAGG